rnacentral:rRNA from 1 species
AUUGAACGCUGGAGGCAGGCCUAACAAAUGAAAGUCGAACGAGUGGCGGACGGGUGCGUAAUGUCUGGGAAACUGCCCGAUGGAGGGGGAUAACUAAUGGUAACGGUAGCUAAUACCGCAUACCAUCGGAUGUGCCGAGAUGGGAUUAGCUAGUAGGUGGCGUAACGGCUAAACGAGGCGACGAUCCCUAGCUGGUCUGAGAAUAUGACCAACCGCGCUGGAACUGGGACACGGUCCAGAAUCAUAAGGUAGGCAGCAGUGGGACAUUUGUCACACGGAGCGCAAGCCUAAUGCAUGCAUCGCACGUGGCGUUAGAAGGCCUUAGAGUUGGAAAGUACUUUCAGCGAGGAAGCGUAAAACGCAGAAGAAGCACCGACUAACUCCGAUCCAGCAGCCGCGGUAAUAC